rnacentral:lncRNA from 1 species
UUUAUAAGUUUACACAGAUUUUCAUUCAAAAUUUUAGUCAUUAGGUUAUUUUUCAUUUCCAGCCGAUUUUCAUUCGAGUUUUAGAUUAGAUUUUCUUUAGUUUUUCCAGCCGAUUUUCUUAAAUACUUUUCCUUUUUUCCUUUAGUUUAGAAUUUACAUUUUAGUGACAACCCAAAACCUCUUUAAAUUUCGACCAGUUCUAAACUUCCUUACUUCAUAUUUCUUUCAAAAGCUUUUGAAGAAAAUUAUUAUUUUUCCCUGUGGAUUCGAUUUCUAAGUACUACAAUCGAUUAGCUGUGCACUUGCGGCUUUAUUGAUUUCUAUUAAGGUAAAACUUGUUCCCGCACACAACACCACAUCACAUAUUCGUUGUCAAUUAUUUUUGUUCGCAGUUAGUGACUAGCAAAUCCAUGCAAUUUGAGUUCAGUGACCCCUUGUCACCUAGGCGGAAAGAGAGAAAUUACUCACGGGUUUAAAGGUGACAUCAGCAAUGCCAACAUAUGUUACAUCGUAUUUUUGGUUACCCAAACUUAUAACUACAAAAUUAACUAGUGUAAUGGCGUUGUUCUGGUAGAUUUCAAAUAGCCAACAAAAAAAUGCAUUAGUUUGCGUAAAAAAAAUUAUGUUACAGUAAAUCAGAUAGGGAAUUGCCUUUCAAACAGUAGAUGUCUUUAAUACUACUUAUGUCAAAACAAUUAUAAUAUCUAUGGACAAACUGGAUUUAUUGUUUGUGUGAUUUUUUAAGGGUUGAUAUUUUUGAAUAAUAGACCCCUUCGAUUCUAUAUGGUAUUACUCCCAUCAUAUGGAUAGAGGAGCAUUAUAUCGGCUAACCUAUAGUUAAAAAAGGACUAGUAAAAAAAGUUGGUUCAGGUUGUUCUAUUUUAGUAUAGAAUAAUCUUUAAAUACCAUCUAUUCGCCGAGGUCAACAACAUGUAGAGGACAUAAUUAUUACCCAAAUCUUAUGGUCAAUAUAUCAUCUGAUUGGCCCAGUGACAAAUAUGUAGAAUGGAGGAUUGAUAAACGCAGUUAUUAACUCGAAUGAUAUGAAAAUUAUUCAUAGCAUGCCUAUAAAAUAAUUAUAGACCAGAUACACUCAGAUGAAACUUAACAAAAUGAUGUAGGCACCAGGGGUGAUGCUACAAGAGUGGUGAGAUGGAGUGCAACAAUUGGCCGAUGGGCUCGCCUUGUAUGCACUAAGAGAUGAUGAUAUGGAGAUGGAUCGAGAUGAGGCAAAGAUAAUUGGCUGAUGGGCUCUCCUUAUCUUCACAAAGUAAUGAGAUGGAAAGUGAAACGAGUGAUGGAGUGAAUCGAUGCCACAAAGCUUAUGGGCUAGAUUUGAUAAGUCAAGUUGAAUCCAAAGAGAAAGGGGAAACCACACAAACUCCGAAAAUAAGCAUAAAGCUUAAAACUAGAGAACUCUCAUAUCUUAAUUCAUUUUCAAGUCUGUCUAUUACAAAUGAAAUGAGUGAGCUUAUAAAGAAGUCUC